GGUGCAAUGAUGAUACGAAGCACAUAGGUGUUUUUGGGCAGUGGACGAUACCACAAGGUUUCGCCGUGAGCCCUUAUUUUUAACGACUUCUCCUUCCACUGAGCACU